GACGAACGCUGGCGGCGUGCCUAAUACAUGCAAGUCGAGCGAAUUGAUUUGGAGCUUGCUCCAAUGAUGUUAGCGGCGGACGGGUGAGUAACACGUGGGUAACCUGCCUUAUAGAUUGGGAUAACUUCGGGAAACCGGAGCUAAUACCGAAUAAUACUUUUUGACACAUGUCAGUUAGUUGAAAGACGGUUUCGGCUGUCACUAUAAGAUUGACCCGCGGCGCAUUAGCUAGUUGGUGAGGUAACGGCUCACCAAGGCAACGAUGCGUAGCCGACCUGAGAGGGUGAUCGGCCACACUGGGACUGAGACACGGCCCAGACUCCUACGGGAGGCAGCAGUAGGGAAUCUUCCACAAUGGGCGAAAGCCUGAUGGAGCAACGCCGCGUGAGUGAAGAAGGAUUUCGGUUCGUAAAACUCUGUUGCAAGGGAAGAACAAGUGCCGCAGGCAAUGGCGGCACCUUGACGGUACCUUGCGAGAAAGCCACGGCUAACUACGUGCCAGCCGCCGCGGUAA
rnacentral:rRNA from 1 species